GCCGAUGUGGCAGAUCAAGGCCAAUGCUUAAGGCCUAAGCCCUUACUAAAGAGGUUCAACUCCUCUCUUCAGCU
rnacentral:tRNA from 2 species